rnacentral:rRNA from 1 species
AUUGAACGCUGGCGGUAUGCUUAACACAUGCAAGUCGAACGGUAGCAGGCCUUCGGGCGCUGACGAGUGGCGGACGGGUGAGUAACGCGUAGGAAUCUGCCUGGUAGUGGGGGACAACUUAGGGAAACUUAAGCUAAUACCGCAUACGCCCUACGGGGGAAAGCGGGGGAUCUUCGGACCUCGCGCUAUGAGAUGAGCCUGCGUUAGAUUAGCUAGUUGGUAGGGUAAAGGCCUACCAAGGCGACGAUCUAUAGCUGGUCUGAGAGGACGAUCAGCCACACUGGGACUGAGACACGGCCCAGACUCCUACGGGAGGCAG